rnacentral:tRNA from 1 species
GCCUCUGUAGCUCAUUUGGUUAGAGCGCUGCACCGGAAUCGCAGGGCCGUAGGUUCAAUUCCUGCCAGAGGAC